UGUGUAAACGGAAAAGAGGUUUAACCAGUGCUCUUUAAAUGGAAAAGAAAUAGUCUUUGUGCAGUUUGUGGAUCUCGAGUGAAACAGACGGGAACAGAGAAGAAGCUUGGAUCUAUAUCACAGGUGGUUCAGAAUAGCCGUUACUGCGGGCAGCGGCACUGUCAACUGUUGGUGCCAGAACUGGUUCAAAUUCAUGAUUGACUUCGUCAUCAUCAUCAUCGGAAUCUAUUCAUACUUUUCACAUAAUGAAAAUUUAUUAGUAUUUACCAUUGAAAUCUUCAGUAUCUUGUGACUUGGAUGUAUCAAUCAGCACUGUUGGAAGUGAAGCUGGUCUAUCACCAAGAAUACUAUCCAUUUGUUUAAAGAACUGGAAAGUCUUUCUUCCAUUCCCAGUUAUAUUAUUGUGGUCUUUUAUUCUUUUAUAUUCUGUCUUAAGAUUCUUGAUUUUAGAUCUA